rnacentral:rRNA from 1 species
CCUACGGGAGGCAGCAGUGGGGAACAUUGGGCAAUGGGCGCAAGCCUGACCCAGCAACGCCGUGUGAGGGAUGAAGGCCUUCGGGUCGUAAACCUCUGUCAGAAGGGAAGAAUGGGCAUAGUUCGAAUAGGGCUAUGUUGUGACGGUACCUUCAGAGGAAGCACCGACUAACUCCGUGCCAGCAGCCGCGGUAAUACGGAGGGUGCGAGCGUUAUUCGGAAUCACUGGGCGUAAAGGGCGCGUAGGCGGUCUGGUAAGUCGGGGGGAAAAUCCCACGGCCCAACCGUGGAACUGCCUUUGAAACGGCUGGGCUUGGAUCCUGGAGAGGGUGGCGAAAUUCCUGGUGUAGGAGUAAAAUCCGUAGAUAUCAGGAGGAACACCGGUGGCGAGGGCGGCCACCUGGACAGGUAUCGACGCUGAGGCGCGAAAGUGGGGGGAGCAAACAGGAUUAGAUACCCUUGUAGU